rnacentral:rRNA from 1 species
CCAAUAGCGUAUAUUAAAGUUGCUGCAGUUAAAAAGCUCGCAGUUGAAUUUCGGGGUCAAUAUGUUGGUCGUGCCUUGGUACGUACUAGCUUAUUGAUUUCUCCUUUCUGACGAACCAUGAUGUCAUUAAUUUGGUGUCAUGGGGAAUCAGGACUGUUACUUUGAAAAAAUUAGAGUGUUUAAAGCAGGCUCGCGCUUGAAUACAUUAGCAUGGAAUAAUGAAAUAGGACACUUGAUUCUAUUUUGUUGGUUUCUAGGAUCGAUGUAAUGAUUAAUAGGGAUAGUUGGGGGCAUUAGUAUUCAAUUGUCAGAGGUGAGAUUCUUGGAUUUAUUGAAGACUAACUACUGCGAAAGCAUUUGCCAAGGAUGUUUUCAUUAAUCAAGAACGAAAGUUAGGGGAUCGAAGACGAUCAGAUACCGUCGUAGUCUUAACCAUAAACUAUGCCGACUAGGGAUCGGAUGAUGUUAAUUUUUUAAUGACUCAUUCGGCGCCUUACG